rnacentral:rRNA from 1 species
CAGCCGCCGCGGGAAUACGAAGGGUGCAAGCGUUACUCGGAAUUACUGGGCGUAAAGCGCGCGUAGGCGGUUACUCAAGUCAGAGGUGAAAGCCCGGGGCUCAACCCCGGAACUGCCUUUGAAACUAGGUGACUAGAAUCUUGGAGAGGUCAGUGGAAUUCCGAGUGUAGAGGUGAAAUUCGUAGAUAUUCGGAAGAACACCAGUGGCGAAGGCGGCUUACUGGCUCAUACUGGACGCUGAGGUGCGAAAGCGUGGGGAGCAAACAGGAUUAGAUACCCGAGUAGUCCCUGUCUCUUAUAC